UUAAGUUCAGCGGGUAUUCCUACCUGAUCCGAGGUCAACUCUUGAAGGUUGGGCGUUUUACGGCGUGACCGCCUCCGCGCUCCGGUGCGAGGUGUGUGCUACUACGCAGGGGAGGCCGCGGCGGGGUCGCCACUGCAUUUCGGGGGCGGCCAGGGCCGGCCCCCAACACCAGGCCCCCGGGGGGGGCCUGAGGGUUGAAA
rnacentral:misc_RNA from 1 species